rnacentral:rRNA from 1 species
GACGAACGCUGGCGGCGUGCUUAACACAUGCAAGUCGAGCGGUAAGGCCCUUUCGGGGGUACACGAGCGGCGAACGGGUGAGUAACACGUGGGUGACCUGCCCUCAGCUCUGGGAUAAGCCUGGGAAACCGGGUCUAAUACCGGAUAUGACUCCAUGACGCAUGUUGUGGGGUGGAAAGCCUUGUGCGGCUGAGGAUGGGCCCGCGGCCUAUCAGCUUGUUGGUGGGGUGAUGGCCUACCAAGGCGACGACGGGUAGCCGGCCUGAGAGGGCGACCGGCCACACUGGGACUGGGACACGGCCCAGACUCCUACGGGAGGCAGCAGUGGGGAAUCUUGCGCUAAUGCGGGAAACCGUGACGCAGCGACGCCGCGUGAGGGAAGAAGGCC